rnacentral:lncRNA from 1 species
AUGGGGCACGGGACGGGCGCAUUCUUCUGGAACCACAUCUUCUGCCAAUCUUCUAACUUCGCGCCCCAAUUCUCCGUCGGUGGCGUUCACCGUUCAGUAGUCCAUGCUGGGGCGCCAGAACACAAUAUCGAUGUUCGACUGGCUGGACAUUACGGCGGCGGCGUAGUACGGGUGAUCGUCGGACAGGGCGGCGGAGAGAGUGACGGCGUGGAUGUGGAUGAUGAUGGAGUACUUGUUGCUCCCGCGGGCGUUGACGCUGUAGCGGAGUCAUGUCGAGAGGGCGAUACGCGAGCCGGUGCAGAGGUUGAGCAGCGCGUGGCCGCGCGACUCGGGGAGCUCGGCGGCGAGCCAGCCGCCCGGGAAGGAGCCGUAGAAUCUCGCGAUGCGGGCGUCGGCGAACAGGCCGGGACGGUGGUGUGUGUCCCCACUGGCGACGCAGAAGAAGGAGGUCGUGGUUGUGGAAGGCAUGAGCAGCAACGAGAUCUCACGCGGCGGAGAUGAGCGAGCUGGA